rnacentral:rRNA from 1 species
CCCGCGGCAAGACGGAAAGACCCCGUGAACCUUUACUAUAGCUUGACACUGAACAUUGAGCCUUGAUGUGUAGGAUAGGUGGGAGGCUUUGAAGUGUGGACGCCAGUCUGCAUGGAGCCGACCUUGAAAUACCACCCUUUAAUGUUUGAUGUUCUAACGUUGGCCCGUAAUCCGGGUUGCGGACAGUGUCUGGUGGGUAGUUUGACUGGGGCGGUCUCCUCCUAAAGAGUAACGGAGGAGCACGAAGGUUGGCUAAUCCUGGUCGGACAUCAGGAGGUUAGUGCAAUGGCAUAAGCCAGCUUGACUGCGAGCGUGACGGCGCGAGCAGGUGCGAAAGCAGGUCAUAGUGAUCCGGUGGUUCUGAAUGGAAGGGCCAUCGCUCAACGGAUAAAAGGUACUCCGGGGAUAACAGGCUGAUACCGCCCAAGAGUUCAUAUCGACGGCGGUGUUUGGCACCUCGAUGUCGGCUCAUCACAUCCUGGGGCUGAAGUAGGUCCCAAGGGUAUGGCUGUUCGCCAUUUAAAGUGGUACGCGAGCUGGGUUUAGAACGUCGUGAGACAGUUCGGUCCCUAUCUGCCGUGGGCGCUGGAGAACUGAGGGGGGCUGCUCCUAGUACGAGAGGACCGGAGUGGACGCAUCACUGGUGUUCGGGUUGUCAUGCCAAUGGCACUGCCCGGUAGCUAAAUGCGGAAGAGAUAAGUGCUGAAAGCAUCUAAGCACGAAACUUGCCCCGAGAUGAGUUCUCCCUGAGACUUAGAGUCUCCUGAAGGAACGUUGAAGACGACGACGUUGAUAGGCCGGGUGUGUAAGCGCAGCGAUGCGUUGAG